rnacentral:snRNA from 1 species
GUAUAAUUGUGGCAGUACAUAUACUAAAAUUGGAACGAUACAGAGAAGAUUAGCAUGGCCCCUGCGCAAGGAUGAUACGCGAAUUCGUGAAGCGUUCUAUAUUUUU